rnacentral:misc_RNA from 1 species
GAUGAAGAACGCAGUGAAAUGCGAUAAGUAGUGUGAAUUGCAGAAUUCAGUGAAUCAUCGAAUCUUUGAACGCACAUUGCGCCCUUUGGUAUUCCUUAGGGCAUGCCUGUUCGAGCGUCAUUUAAACCUUCAAGCUCAGCUUGGUGAUGGGUGACUGUCCUCCCCUCGCGGGGGGACUCGCCUCAAAAACAUUGGCGGCCGGUACAUUGGCUUCGAGCGCAGCAGAAACGCGGUCUCGAGCCCGGUGGAUCGGCUCCCAUAAGCCUCUUCUUUUAUUUUGACCUCGGAUCAGGUAGGGAUACCCGCUGAACUUAAGCAUAUCAAUAAGCGGAGGA